GCUAGCACAAGUGUCUGCACGAACACGGAAUAGACAGCAUAGACGCAGACGUGUUUAAGCGAGCACCAGAUACAAGUGGAAUGGUUGCCUGUUCUUCCCUUCCGGAACCCAACUGGGACUUAUUUAAACCAAGACCCCCUCCCCCAGACGGCGGCGGAGGCGGCGGCGGAGGCGGAGGAGGCGGAGGAGGAGGAGGAGGCGGACAACCCCCGCCACCGCCACCGCCUUGAAAUAAUCGACGACUUAACGUAUAACGGUUCCGGUAUAAAUAAAAAUAAAAAUUGCAAAGAUAUUUCGCAUUGAAACCGAACGUAUGGCGAACAUUAUUGGCGAAGAGUCUACAUAUAUUAUUGUUAUGACUUCAAACUUCAAGAUUUAAAACGAUGUUAACAUUACGAAAGCAGGUGUCGUGUUUAGUUGUUUUGAAUUCGCGCAUGUAUAUGACAACUGUAAUCGGAAGUAUUCGCAAAUUUAAUAAAUUUCAAUAAAUUUAUGACAA